UUGAACAACUCAUAAAAACCGUACUUACCGCAGCCUUGAAGAGAAUAACCAAUCAAGGUGGGCAUACCACCGGUAUACAGACCGCGAAGUCCCUCCUUGCUGAGGAUAGUCUUGAAACCAGCAAUAUUACCAGGGUAGAUAUUUGGAUUGACUUGUUUGCGACAUUUGAUUAAAUCCAAAGGGGUAAUGGCACUGUGCGUAGUACCACAAGCCAACAAACCACCCAAUGUACAAAGUCCGUAGUAUUGGGGAGUGUAAAGCUGAAGGGUCUUUUUAGGAGGAGCAGGAGGUAUCAAGGGGGUAGACAUGAUGAACUAAUAAAGUGGGUAUUUUAAAACAAAAAA